CACGUAGGGCGCAAGCGUUGUCCGGAAUUAUUGGGCGUAAAGAGCUCGUAGGUGGUCUGUUGCGUCCGCUGUGAAAACUCGGGGCUUAACCCCGAGCCUGCAGUGGAUACGGGCAGACUAGAGGUAGGUAGGGGAGAAUGGAAUUCCUGGUGUAGCGGUGAAAUGCGCAGAUAUCAGGAGGAACACCGGUGGCGAAGGCGGCAUCCUGGACCAUUACUGACGCUGAGUGAGCGAAAGCCAGGGGAGCAAACGGG
rnacentral:rRNA from 1 species